GUGAGAUAGGCAAGCAAGAAAUGGACUUUUCUAAUUCCAUUGAGGACCAAUUAUUUGGGGGUGACUAAUUUGACCUAAAUAGAACGUGCUACGCAAGACGGCGAGAAUUAGACUUUGAACAAGGUUACUCUCUCCCCCCACCCAUUAUAAGUACUGCUGCUUCUUGGAUUAGUUCGUAAGUUUAAAGCAAUCAUCUUCAAUAACCAAAAAUUUUCUUGCACAUACACCAAAUUUGAUCAGCUUAACAUAAACCAUGAAUACAGAUCAAACUGCAUCUACUUGUUCUUCAAUUCCCCUUCUGGGAUGUAUUCUAGAUAUUAUUUCACUUCUAAUCAAAUCUGAGAGCCCAGAUGGAGCCGAAACCGUGUCAGAAGACAAGAAAAAAGAUGCUGCAACUGAAAGUAAUGUUUUGGCUCAAAAGCAUUUUCGACAAAUUCAGAAGGUUCGGGGACCUUGAUAUCACAGCAAGUGCUGAGAAUUAGGGCGUGUAGGCUUUGGUUUCUACCACAGUUCCAAUUUCCAAAUCUUCCCUUCAAGCAGAAGCCUUCGAUUUUGGUGUGUGAGUUUGUGUGUGUUCUUCUUCUUUCCCUUCUCUUUUUUUUUUUUUUUUUGCCCUUUUUAAUCUCUGUCCAUUUUUGUUUCUCUAUUUUUCUAGUCAUCUAAUUGGUAAUGUAUUGUUAGUUCUUCUAUAAAUGUUACUACUAUAAGUCUAAAAUAUUUAUCCCGAAUUGGAAAUGGUUUUCAUCUUUUUAUUUCUUUAAUCGUAGUUCUGUAUUUCUAAAUUAUUCUUUCAGAAUAAAAGAACAAAAUAUGGCUAGCUAGCUUAAAAAGAACUUAUAUAACUGAUAAAAAUGAAAGAGUGUUUGCUGAUUGAUACUUGUAUUUUAAUUUUGCUGGAAAAUGGGAUCAGUAUCACCAUUUAUCUCAUAAGAAAAGAACUUAAGAUUGUUAAUUAACAAGAGGAUAUGCGAAAUGUCCAUAGAACUUGAUGCUCAAUACAAUUUUGAUUGGGAAACUUGCAGCACUCGUCUCCGGUUUAAACAACUUUACACAUUCAAAACUACAUGGAAAUGAAUACACAACUCUUUUUAAAUUUUUCUCUUGCUCAAAAACUGGUUUGGAAAUUCUUGGUAUUAUCAAGUCAAGAUAGUGAUAAUGGAAAUUGAACAUAUUCUUUUCCAUAAAUUUUAUUGACGUUGAAACCCAAC
rnacentral:lncRNA from 1 species